CAUGCAUAAGGAGCGUGAGGACCUAACGUGAAUGCGGCCAAGAACUCCAUUUUUGUGUAAGCGUACGUUCGAACAAGGAUUCAUUCAUGGGACCACGCACGCACGACUCAACACUUUCCUCACUCGAUUUUGCACUGUCGACACAUAAUCAUCAAUACAAAUACGAGGGCUCACUUCAACCUAUCAUAAAGGAUCAACAACAAAGAACGAAAUUGCGUUCAACCUCAUCGUCAAGUUGUAAUCGAGGCCGACUCAUCUACGGUUUGUUUGCACACGGAAUCGAGGAGGAAGAAAUAUGGAUAAAAAUGGUGGUUGGAAGCAAGACUCACUGAGACUCUUCGAUAUGAUGAUCACAGGUUUCGUAAGGCAUUUUGUUUGGUGUGGCAGACUGGUUAUGGUCCAAUUGUGUAGAAGCUACCCCCUUGCUUUCACAUGUGAUAACGAUGUACACCGACUCGGCCCGUGGUUUGCGGUGGAUUCCGGUUCAGCUGCGGGAUUGCGGUGUAGUACCUGUCUUGAUUAAGGACUAGUUAUCUUCCUUCUUUUUUCAAAACGCAAUGGACCAUUACGCUUUAUUGUGAUUUUGUCAGAAUGAUUGAAUUCUUUUGAGAGUUGUUAUAGAAAUGGUUUUACAGGUUGCGAAGGAUAAUUCAAGGUUGUUGGAAAUCGGUUUGGUUUUUGGCUGUCAGUUGGGAAGAGGAGCUUGGAUUCUGUUUUCAAAUUCUCUUAGAAAUCGGUUAUUCUAAAUAAAUUUUGUUGUGCAAUUCUUUGGGUUGUCAGAUUUCAUUUCCAUGUUCGGCGAAUACCUCGGUUGUUUUGGUCUUAAUGUUAACAACUCUGCAGGUUGAUGCUGUUUGAGAUUUUGGAGUCCAUUGUGAGCAAUGCUUCACACAAUGAACAACAUGAAGGUUACCAAUGGAUGUUUGUGUGUGGACUUGGAAAGUCAUGAAGAAACGAGAAUAUAUUAUAUAAUAUUAUGCAUGAGACCUUGGUGUUUUGUAUGCCAUAUGUAAUGGAUCAUGUAGUGUAUAUAUUGGAUCUUGAUUGUAAUUUUAUCUUUGGUUACAAAAAACUUGAAUAUAUGUACUUGGAUUGUUGGAUUUAUAAUAGGAAAUGGAAUGAGUUUAUGGACAUCAAA